UGAAAAGAUAUGAUGACAGAUGUCUCGUACUAAGCAGGUGACUCCCUCAGGUAUAGCUCAAAGUCUGUAUGCCUGUGCCAUGUACCCAGGAUAGAAAAGGUGCUCGGGAGCCCUCCAGCACCCAGUGAGGUACUGGGAUGAAUCCAAACCAAAAGUGAAAAUGAAUAGCUCACAGAGAUGAGCAUUCAAAGGGAAGAUAAUCGCAGACUCAUCCUUGGACCAAAAACAAAAGUGAAAGUACAAUGGCUGCCUGGGCAAGCUGACAAAGACAAAUACUGUGCUCACCCUCAAACUGAAACUGAAAAUACAAGUCAGCAGGAUGAACACUCAGAAAUGAAAAGAAGACAGAAAUGAGGACCAUGCGUUCACCCUUGCAGGACCCAUAGCAUAAAACACUAAGGGGUGAACUCACUGAACAAACAACCGAAGGUGGCAAGACAGCAGAGAAGAGUGGAUAAGGUCAAGCCACGAACACAGUCCCUGAAGCAACAGGCAAAAGUGAGCCCCCAGAAGAGGAGGUCAGCAAACAGCCACAAAACAAGGAAGAUGAAGUAGUUCACAGACUACGCUGGGUGCCAGAUAUUGUCUUUGCUCAGGACUGCCUACCUGCCCUUGGAGGUUAGAGAUGAGGAGAUGUUGAAUCAACAGCACAGUCUCCAGGAGCAGAUGGCUUGAUUCUGCACAAAGGAAAGGUCUGCAAUCUGUGUCAGAUCAGACUUGGCUGAACGAUGAAGUCAUUCACAGUUGCCAGCAAACAUUAAUAAUAUGGCUCCCAAGAGUGGAAUUGCAGUUAUCUCUGUGUUCACCUGUGAAAAGGCUUGCAGCUCAGGCAUAGAAGAUCAGAAUUGCUGCAGUGGUGCUCAAAGGAUGAGCUCAAAAUCGUUUAGAAGGAGACAAAAGAAAAAUAUUGAUUUUUGAGAUAUUUUUAUGUGUUAUUACUUGGUAAAACACAAUCUUUUUGGACAAUCAAUAAUUGAGAUACUAAGAAGUUAAAUUAAUUUGUUAUUCUUCCACAUGUCUAUCCAAAUACAUAUUUUUCUCUUUGAAGAUGACUGAUUGGUAAUGCAAAGUAAAUGUUUAAUAAACUUGAUUAAAUAAACCAUUAGAUAACAUAGAAAGGUACCAAAUGUGAUGUUUGAAACAACAUUUAAUGUUAACCUUCAAAAUAAUUUUGUUUAAAGCCUUGAUAUAAGCAGUAAAAAAUAAGUUGUUUUUCACUUUUCAGGUUAUAGAAAGCAUGAAAAUGAAAUUACCAGUUAUCCCAGAGUUUUACUUGUAAUGAAUCAUGGAUGAUAUAAUUAACCAAAGCUCUGUUGGGUCUUCAUAAAUCAAAUUUUAUAAAGAUGUGGGAAAUCAAAGGGUAGUUUGAGACCUGUAAAUAUUUUCCUCAAAAAUACCCGACUUUUACUUAGCCACAUAGAUGCCUGUAUCACAACAUACCACAAUAUGGCAGAAAGAAAACAGAAGUUUUUCUUAAUACACAUGCUCGUUCCACUUUCUGCCUUCUGUCCACCAGUCCAUGCACUUCUGCACAGCCCAGUUACAAAGAAGGAUGUGUCAAGGUUGAAUGAUUACCUAAUAUUCUUUAGCUCAUUCCAUUCUACCUUGACUUUUUGUAUUCCAUUUAUCCUUUUUUCAUUAUUAAUCACUCUGUCUUUACUGGUCCCAUUUAAGCAGUUAUAAUUAUCUAUUCAAAAGAGUUACUAAGAGCCUUUUCCCUAGAGAUAGAGUAUCCAAUAGAAUAGUCAAAAACGUAGUGUACAAGGGGGAGUGAAAACUGAUAUUAUAUAAUGAAACAGAUUUAAAAUGAAUUAAAAAUGAGUUCAUGUUUUUACAUUUAAAAUACUUAAAAGUGUUCUUUGAUUUCGAGCCAAAACAAUUUACUGUAUGUAUUCAUCAUUUAUGGCACUUUCAUAUAGAAAGUUUUUAUGAAAGUAUAUAAUGUGAUUCGAGCAUGUUGACCGUAACUUGCUUUUCAUCCUUCAGGUCUUCUGUAUGCCUCCAUUUUUCCCCUAGUAGUAGCUUUUCUUUUACUUCCGUGUCAUAUAGGCAUGCACAAUUUCAUGUUUAGAUAAAUUAUAGGACACACAAAUGACAGAAAAUACACAAUGCUUACUUCACAGACAGUUUUAUAUUUUUAAUUUUUUAAAAAUUUCUAAAUUUUAUUUGAUAUAAUAAUUUCUAUUUGCAUCAGUUUUCUGCAAAAGCUAUAACUUUACUUUAUGGCUGAAAAAAAAAUUCCAUAUACUACACUGUCUUUCCCAGUCUUGUGUUUUGGACUCCUUAUGUAGUGGAGUAACUUUACUGUUGUGCUUAGAGCUACAGUGAACAUGGGUGUCUGUAUCUCUAUGAAAAACCCAGGAGUGGCACAGCUGACUAAUACAUUUGCUUGAUGUUCAGUUUUUUUAAAGACCCUCCUACUAAUUUCUGUCAUGCAAGUAUAGUUUCCUUUCCCACCAAAGUGUAUUUAGAGGGUUCCUGUAAUGGACACUGUUGAUUGUCAACUUGAAAAGACCUAGAACUAGAAAUAUAACACAACAAACCUAAGGUCAUCCUUGUGAGGGACAUUUCUUUUGUUUGUCUGACUGCAAGUUAGUUUUGUUUGUGUAGUUUAAUUGAAAAAGGAAAACUCACUCAUUGCCCAUUUAAUAAUUGCACUAUUUGAUUUCUUUUUGUUAUAUUUGAAGUUUUUGUUUAAUACCCUAGAUAUUACUCCUCAAAUAAUACAUGAUUAACAAAGAUUUCCUCCCUUCAUAGGUUGUCAUUCCUUUGGACUAAAGGCUUUCUCUGCUGUGCAGAGGAUAAUAAUUUUAUAAGGUUCCAAUUUUCAAUUGUUAUUGCUAUCUCCUGAGCUUUAGUCAGAAAGCCCUUCUUUGUGCUGUCUACAUCUUAAAUAUUUUCUCUACUCUGUCUCUGAUGUUUUCAGAGUUACAGGUCUUGUAUCAAGUCUUGAUCAACUUGGGAAUUGUGUAGAAGAGAGAUAUAUUUCAUUCUUCUAUAUAUGAACAUUUUGUUUUUCCAGAACAAUUUAUUAAGAGGUUUUACUUUAAGGGCCAGAUAGAUAGAUCAGGAAUAAAAAGAACUUGCUGUACCUGCAGACAAUACAGGUUGAGUUCCUGGCACUGACAUGGCACAUCUGAGACUCCAAUUCUAUGGUGCCAAAUGCAUUCUUUGGUCCUCCAUGGCAGCACACACACACACACACACACACACACACACACACACACACACACACACAGAGUACAUAUUCACGUGCAUAAAAAAAUCAUUGGUAUAUACAAAAAUACAUAAAUCUAUUUUUAGAAAUUCUGUAAAAGUCUGUCUCAUCUUUGAUAUAUAUUUUUGACAUCUUUGCAAUAAUUUCCAUAGCUAUAACUAAAUGGAAUUUUAUCUGAGUCUUACAUUCUAUUCCAUCAUCCACUUGUUUGUUUAUUUAUUUAUUUAUUGUUCAUACCAUGCAGCUUUGUUACUAUGGAUGUAUAGCAAGCUGGAAAUCAGGUACAGUCAUACAUCUAACAUUCUUUUCUGGUUGAAUGUGCUAUCUGGGGUCUCGUAUGUUUCUAUAUACAUUUAAGUUUUUCUAUGUAUGUGAACAGUGGCAUGGUCAAUAUGAUAAUUAUUGCAUAGAAUCAAUAUAUAGCUUUUAGCUGUACAGUUACUUUAAUUGUUUUAAUUCUUCUAAUUCACAAAUAUAAAAAUCAUUUCAUG